rnacentral:rRNA from 1 species
UUCACCCUACGGGGGGCAGCAGUAGGGAAUCUUCCACAAUGGACGAAAGUCUGAUGGAGCAACGCCGCGUGAGUGAAGAAGGGUUUCGGCUCGUAAAGCUCUGUUGGUAGUGAAGAAAGAUAGAGGUAGUAACUGGCCUUUAUUUGACGGUAAUUACUUAGAAAGUCACGGCUAACUACGUGCCAGCAGCCGCGGUAAUACGUAGGUGGCAAGCGUUGUUCGGAAUAACUGGGCGUAAAGGAUGAGUAGGCGGGUAAAAAAGUUAUAUGUUAAAUAUAU